CCCUAUGGGGUGCAGCAGGCGCGAAAACUUCACACUGCAGGAAACUGUGAUGAGGGAACUCCAAGUGCGCGCACUUAGUGUGCGCUUUUCUUGACUAUUAAUCGGUCAUGGAAUAAGGGCUGGGAAAGACCGGUGCCAGCCGCCGCGGUAAUACCGGCAGCUCAAGUGGUCGUCGCUUUUAUUGGGCCUAAAACGUCCGUAGCCUGUUUGGUAAAUCUGUGGGUAAAUCAACCAGCUUAACUGGUUGAAUUCUGCAGAGACUGCCAGACUAGGGACCGGGAGAGGUGUGGGGUACUCUAGGGGUAGGGGUAAAAUCCUGUCAUCCUUAGAGGACCACCAGUUGCGAAGGCGCCACACUGGAACGGAUCCGACGGUCAGGGACGAAGCCUAGGGGCACGAACCGGAUUAGAUACCCGGGUAGUCCUGGGUGUAAACGCUGUGAACUUGGUGUCGGGAGUCCGCAAUGGGCCCCCGGUGCCGGAGUGAAGAUGUUAAGUUCACUGCCUGGGGAGUACGGUCGCAAGGCUGAAACUUAAAGGAAUUGGCGGGGGAGCACUGCAACGGGAGGAGCGUGCGGUUUAAUUGGAUUCAACGCCGGAAAACUCACACGGCCGACUGUUAGAUGAAGACCAGUGUAACGAACUUGUCGGAUUUCAGAGAGGUGGUGCAUGGCAAGGCGAAUCAGCACACUGC
rnacentral:rRNA from 1 species